GGUCGUUUUCAAUGCAAAUUUUGUUCAUGUAUUGUGAUAAUUGAUUUAUCAUAUAAUAAUUGAAAUUUCUAACGUCAAAAACAUAACCUCAAUCUAUUGAUAUAUGAAUAUUAACAUAGAUAAGAGCAGUAAGAUAUAUGAAAGAAUGAUGGAGUACUGAUAACCCCUAUGAAAAUGGAUUUCAAACUAGGGAAAUUUGCUCCAAUCAAGAAGGUAAAUACAAAGUUAGAUAAAAUACUGGAAAAUGUUAUUGUCGCCAAAGAGACAAGCAAGACUUGGAAACAUGCAAGAGGAAAAUAGAAAGAAAAAAGAAGUUGAAGAGAAAAUGAUCUAUUGAGUAUUUCUUAAAUGAUCUUAUGUUACAGAAUUGGAAAUUUACAUCUUGAAAAUUAAGAGGAUUAAUUAAGAAAUCAAUGCAACAAACUUAUCGAGUGUUUGUUCAUAAUUAGCUGGCAUAUGUUCUUGAUAUGAUCGUAAGGAUUACA